UUUUUCUUUUUUUUUUCUUUCCGUGCCUUUCAUAUCUCUAAGGUCUCGGCAAGUGCAUUUUUUUCUUUUCUUAUUUUCUUUUUUUUCUUAUAAAGGACAUACAUACUGUUUUUUUUUUUUUUUUUUUUGUUUUGUAUGAUCUCAUCUUAUGCACUUGCCUUCCCUUUCAAAAUUUUCACCCAAACUUAUUUUCAUUGCACAUCUUGCAAUUCACACAAUCAUACCGAGUUAUGACACAAAAGGGA
rnacentral:lncRNA from 1 species